rnacentral:rRNA from 1 species
AAUCGAACCCGGAGAUAGCUGGUUCUCCCCGAAAUAGUUUUAGGACUAGCCUCAAGUUAGAUACCUGGAGGUAAAGCACUGAAUAGCCUAGCGGCCGAGAGGUUAGCGAAGCUUAUCAAACUCAGAAUGCCAGAGUAUUGAUGCUUGGGAGUCAGACAGUGUCAGAUAAAUGUCAUUGUCAAAAGGGAAACAGCCCAGAUCUACAGCUAAGGUCCCAAAGUCAGGUUAAGUGGAAAACGAUGUGAAGAUACGCAGACAACCAGGAUGUUGGCUCAGAAGCAGCCACUCAUUCAAAGAGUGCGUAAUAGCUCACUGGUCGAGCGUCUUUGCGCGGAGAAUUUAACGGGGCUAAACCUGACACCGAAGCUUAGGCAAUGCACGUAAGUGUAUUGGGUAGGGGAGCGUUGUAUACGCGGAGAAACAGUAGCGCAAGCGGCUGUGGAGUGUAUAGAAGUGAGAAUGCCGGAAUGAGUAGCGCGAAUGCAGUGAGAAUCUGCAUGGCCGAAAGCCUCAGGUUUCUGGAGGAAGGUUCGUCCGCUCCAGGUUAGUCGGGAGCUAAGGUGAGGCCGGAAGGCGUAGCCGAUGCACAGACGGUAGAGAUUCCGUCACCACCAAAAGAGUUAAGCACAGGGACACAUAUGAAGUCUCAGAGCCGGGUGUUGGUUCCGGUAGAGAUCGAGGGAAAUUAGUACCGAAGUCUGAGAUGGAAGAUGGCGAGAAAAGCUGUGUGUAUUUCUGAGGUGCCCGUACCGCAAACCGACACAGGUAGGUAGGAAGAAGAUUCUAAGGCCAACGGGAGAAGGGUUGUUAAGGAACUCGGCAAAUUGACCCCGUAACUUCGGGAGAAGGGGUGCUCCAGAGAUGGAGCCGCAGAGAAUCGGCCCAAGCAACUGUUUACCAAAAACACAGGUUUGUGCUAAAUCGAAAGAUGACGUAUACGAGCUGACGCCUGCCCGGUGCUGGAAGGUUAAGAGGAGAUGUGCAAGCAUUGAAUCGAAGCCCCAGUGAACGGCGGCCGUAACUAUAACGGUCCUAAGGUAGCGAAAUUCCUUGUCAGGUAAGUUCUGACCCGCAUGAAAGGCGUAAUGAUUUGGGCACUGUCUCAACAGCCCGCCCGGCGAAAUUGUAGUACCGGUGAAGAUGCCGGUUACCCGCGACAAGACGGAAAGACCCCAUGGAGCUUUACUGUAGCCUAAUAUUGGGUUUCGAUGUUGCAUGCACAGGAUAGAUGGGACUCUUGGAAACCAAGGCUUUGGCUUUGGCGGAGAGGCCGUUGGGAUACCAUCCUUGCGAUAUUGGAAUUCUAACCUGCGGCUCUGAAUCGAGUCGGGGGACAUUGUUAGGUGGGCAGUUUGACUGGGGCGGUCGCCUCCUAAAGAGUAACGGAGGCGUUCAAAGGUUCGCUCAGCUUGAACGGAAAUCAAGCAAAAGAGUGCAAACGCAGAAGCGAGCCUAACUGCGAGACUGACGGGUCGAGCAGUAACGAAAGUUGGAGUUAGUGAUCCGGUGGUAUGUGAGUGGAAAUGCCAUCGCUCAACGGAUAAAAGUUACCCUGGGGAUAACAGGCUGAUCUCCCCCAAGAGUCCACAUCGACGGGGAGGUUUGGCACCUCGAUGUCGGCUCAUCGCAUCCUGGGGCUGUAUUCGGUCCCAAGGGUUUGGCUGUUCGCCAAUUAAAGCGGUACGCGAGCUGGGUUCAGAACGUCGUGAGACAGUUCGGUCCCUAUCUGUCGUGGGCGCAGGAUAUUUGAUGGGAGCUGUCCCUAGUACGAGAGGACCGGGACGGACGUACCUCUGGCGCACCAGUUGUUCCGCCAGGAGCAUAGCUGGGCAACUACGUACGGAUCGGAUAAACGCUGAAAGCAUCUAAGCGUGAAGCCGACCCAAAGAUAAGAUAUCCCACUGAUUGAAUCAGGUAAGAUCCCUUGU